UCCCAUGUCCCUACGUCAUCGCAGCACUCCCGGAUAAACAUCACAAAACCCCGUACUUAAAUCGUCGGGGUGAUAAGCGCAUUUCUAUUGCGCUCAAGACAGUCAAAUGCCUACAUUGGUCCCCGGUCACCACAAAUAGUCACAAAAAGUUGCAAUCUACUGUGGACCAUGUUGAGGAACUUACAGCAGGAGGCAACAAAAAAGGGGGGUGACCGUUUCAACAUCGUAGACUCCAUGCAUGCCACGUCACAGACGCUGCCUGGGAUCGGGGGAAUCAAGCUGCAGGAUCCCACUCUAUGAUAUAUGCGAUACCAGAUGUUGUGCUCUGAGCGCAACACCACAGGGUGCGUUCGCCGAGCCACCCAGCUUUCCCAGUCUCUUGAAGCCCCAGCAGUUAUAAGCUGCUCUUCCUCCCUGCGCUUCCCACUUCUGUAGUGCAGGGAGGACAAUGCUGUACAGUACCCAGGGAUAUCCCCCCAGGGUGAAGAUGGGUAUCAGAAGCUCCCAAUGAAGAUUAUAUGG